rnacentral:lncRNA from 1 species
UGUGGGUGGUAGCUGGUAUGUUGGUGGAAACUCCAUGCUUCCAUGGAACCAGCUGUAGAGGAGUGGUGAUGCAAUGAGCAUCCUGGAAGUUUAGUUGUCAUUUGUCACCUUUUGGAUAAUGGAGUAGAUUUCUGAAGCUAUUUCUCCUUGUUUGGUGUUCUGCCUGCAAUUUGGACAAGUGGACUUCAGAUUAUGUCUUCGUAGACUGAAAGGCUUGGGACUACUUUGGUUUUCUGGGGGUCCACUUCAGACCCUAGUUGCCUUGGUUUUUCCCAUACCUGGAGAUGUCACCAGUGAAGCCUGGGAAACAGCAAAGAGGGCAGCCUGAUCGUUCAUCUGGAAACUUUGUUCCAGCAUAAGAAGCCUCUCACCCUAAACAUCACAGCUGGGAAUAUGCUGGACCACAACUAAAGCCAGCAUGGCACUGACUCUGACCAAAGGAUUAGCUUCCAGGGGUCCUAGCAAGGUGCAUCACAGUGUCAAGAAUGCACUGCAUUCAGAGAAGUUCAAACUAUGGAUUCCCACCAG